AUGAAAAAAGAUGACAACUUCCGAGGCCUUGGAAACCCUGUUGAUCUCUCGGUUAAGCUUGGUCAAAUAGGGAGACAUAUAGUUCAUCAUUUGAUGUACUUGCUUCUAAAAUUGGUAUUUAUUCUACCGGUGGCAACAACAAAUGUUGUGAGAGCAUUUUUUGCCAUGAGCAUAGUCAGGAGCAAGUUGAGAAAUAAGAUGGGCGAUAGUCUUUUGGAUGAUUGUCUAGUCACAUACGUUGAGAGAAAUCCUUUCUCCAAGGUGAAUGAACAUGAUAUAAUUGAUACCUUCAUGACAAUGCAAAAGCGUAGGCCGAAAACAUAG
rnacentral:rRNA from 1 species